AGUGAACGCUGGCGGUAGGCCUAACACAUGCAAGUCGAACGGCAGCACAGUAAGAGCUUGCUCUUACGGGUGGCGAGUGGCGGACGGGUGAGGAAUACAUCGGAAUCUACUUUUUCGUGGGGGAUAACGUAGGGAAACUUACGCUAAUACCGCAUACGAACUACGGGUGAAAGCAGGGGAUCUUCGGACCUUGCGCGAUUGAAUGAGCCGAUGUCGGAUUAGCUAGUUGGCGGGGUAAAGGCCCAACAAGGCGACGAUCCGUAGCUGGUCUGAGAGGAUGAUCAGCCACACUGGAACUGAGACACGGUCCAGACUCCUACGGGAGGCAGCAGUGGGGAAUAUUGGACAAUGGGCGCAAGCCUGAUCCAGCCAUACCGCGUGGGUGAAGAAGGCCUUCGGGUUGUAAAGCCCUUUUGUUGGGAAAGAAAAGCAGCAGGUUAAUACCCCGCUGUUCUGACGGUACCCAAAGAAUAAGCACCGGCUAACUUCGUG
rnacentral:rRNA from 1 species